AGCAGCCGCGGUAAUUCCAGCUCCAAUAGCGUAUAUUAAAGUUGUUGCAGUUAAAAAGCUCGUAGUUGAACCUUAGGCCCGUGCGGGCGGUCCGUCCUCUGGGCGAGCACUGCCUCGUCGCGGGUCUCACCUUCUGGCGAGCGUGGAUGCCAUUCACUUGGUGUCCGCGGGAACCAGGACCUUUACCUUGAAAAAUUAGAGUGCUCAAAGCGGGCUCACUUGCUUGAAUACAUUAGCAUGGAAUAAUGAAAUAGGACGACAGUUCUAUUUUGUUGGUUUCCGGAACGGUCGUAAUGAUUAAUAGGGAUAGUUGGGGGCAUUCGUAUUCAAUUGUCAGAGGUGAAAUUCUUGGAUUUAUUGAAGACGGACUACUGCGAAAGCAUUUGCCAAGGAUGUUUUCAUUAAUCAAGAACGAAAGUUGGGGAAUCGAAGACGAUCAGAUACCGUCGUAGUCUCAACCAUAAACUAUGCCGACUGGGAAUCGGGCGAUGUUAUUUUUCGUGACUCGCUCGGCGCCCC
rnacentral:rRNA from 1 species